UCUCGUGGUCUAGUGGUUAGAGCGCCCGCCUCUGAUGCGGAAGGUCGCGGAUUCAAACCCCGACCGAGUCAU